CUGCGCGUCGCGAACCGGAUGCCUCCUCAUCGUCCUCCCUGUGGUACCUUCAGGGAAGUCGGUGAUAGUGUCACGAAGGCAAAGAUGGAGUUCAUGGUGCAGGAGGAGUGCUCGGAAAAAUGGUGGCAGUGGCAGUGGGGAACCUCCAGGCCUCUAGGUACUCUCCAUCCAGCAGCAUGCCACGACGCGGCACUAGGUGGUGGGGGCCGAGCUCACCCGGGUCGAGACCAUACGACUGCACAUCCAGCCACCCAAGAUCUCGAUCCCGAUCUUCACGCUGCUGCUGGGCAUGACCUGGAGGAGAUCAUCAUCAAAUAGGAGGAAAUGAAUAGACGACAACAUCUCUGAACUUGUAUAUUAUGAACUAGCAAGUUCAUCCAUCCACCCCUCCUCUGUUUGCUAGGCUUCUACAUACAUAAUUUUCUUCUUUCGUCAUAGUUUAAUAUAAGAAUGGAAUCGACUAAUAGACACACCAACAUGCGUAGUAAUGGGUUCAGUGCCACUGCUACUCUCAUGGUCGCUGCCUCGCCUCCCUGGUAUUCCUCCUCUCUCCUCUCCUGCCUUGACGACAUCUAUUGUGUCCCCAGGCCUCAGCCCCACAUCACCAGCAUCUCCGCCUCAAGUACUCCUGUCAAUGCACCCUGCGGCUCGACACCAUGAUAGUACCCAGCAAGGGAUCGAGUGAAGAAACUGGACUGGGAUCAUGGAGUAAAUCAAACGAGGAUGCAAGUAUGCAACUCAUGUUCGUGUAGGUAGUCAUUCAGACAUUUCUUAACUCUAUGGCAAAUAGUUCACAUGGUAGAGCCAGCUGUGGUGGAGAGGCUAGAUAGUUUUAGUAUUCAGACUUUCAGUUGCUGCUAGCUCUUCUUUGCUCUACCGGAAUGGAUGUGUUUUUGUCCACAUAAAAUUCUAACAUGAAUUUUCUAUUUAGCUAGCAAAUCCAAUAAUUUAUGUACUGUAUUUGCAUUUUGUAGUCAUACUUUCUAUUGGAAUUUGACUUAUAAUGGUUUUUACCGUAAAAAAAGGAGCCAGCUAGCUCUUGUGUCGUCUCAUUUGCUUGUCUCCUA